rnacentral:rRNA from 1 species
GAUGAACGCUGGCGGCGUGCCUAAUACAUGCAAGUCGAGCGAACAGACGAUGAGCUUGCUCCUCUGACGUUAGCGGCGGACGGGUGAGUAACACGUGGAUAACCUACCUAUAAGACUGGGAUAACUUCGGGAAACCGGAGCUAAUACCGGAUAAUAUAUUGAACCGCAUGGUUCAAUAGUGAAAGACGGUUUUGCUGUCACUUAUAGAUGGAUCCGCGCCGCAUUAGCUAGUUGGUAAGGUAACGGCUUACCAAGGCAACGAUGCGUAGCCGACCUGAGAGGGGGAUCGGCCACACUGGAACUGAGACACGGUCCAGACUCCUACGGGAGGCAGCAGUAGGGAAUCUUACGCAAUGGGCGAAAGCCUGACGGAGCAACGCCGCGUGAGUGAUGAAGGUCUUCGGAUCGUAAAACUCUGUUAUUAGGGAAGAACAAAUGUGUAAGUAACUAUGCACGUCUUGACGGUACCUAAUCAGAAAGCCACGGCUAACUACGUG